rnacentral:rRNA from 1 species
UAGCUGGUCUGAGAGGAUGAUCAGCCACACUGGAACUGAGACACGGUCCAGACUCCUACGGGAGGCAGCAGUGGGGAAUAUUGCACAAUGGAGGAAACUCUGAUGCAGCAACGCCGCGUGGAGGAUGACGCAUUUCGGUGUGUAAACUCCUUUUAUAUGGGAAGAUAAUGACGGUACCAUAUGAAUAAGCACCGGCUAACUCCGUGCCAGCAGCCGCGGUAAUACGGAGGGUGCAAGCGUUACUCGGAAUCACUGGGCGUAAAGCGCGCGCAGGCGGCCUUUUAAGUUGGAUGUGAAAGCCUAGGGCUCAACCAUAGAACUGCAUCCAAAACUAUCAGGCUAGAGUGUGGGAGAGGAAGAUGGAAUUAGUUGUGUAGGGGUAAAAUCCGUAGAGAUAACUAGGAAUACCAAAAGCGAAGGCAAUCUUCUGGAACAUUACUGACGCUGAGGCGCGAAAGCGUGGGGAGCAAACAGGAUUAGAUACCCUGGUAGUCCACGCCCUAAACGAUGAAUGUUAGUCGUCGGGUAGCUAGUCUAUUCGGUGAUGCAGCUAACGCAUUAAACAUUCCGCCUGGGGAGUACGGUCGCAAGAUUAAAACUCAAAGGAAUAGACGGGGACCCGCACAAGUGGUGGAGCAUGUGGUUUAAUUCGAAGAUACGCGAAGAACCUUACCUAGCCUUGACAUAUUUAAGAACACUUUAGAGAUAGAGUGGUGCCUUCGGGAGCUUUUAUACAGGUGCUGCACGGCUGUCGUCAGCUCGUGUCGUGAGAUGUUGGGUUAAGUCCCGCAACGAGCGCAACCCUCGUCACUAGUUACUAACGGUUCGGCCGAGGACUCUAGUGAGACUGCCUUCGUAAGGAGGAGGAAGGUGAGGACGACGUCAAGUCAUCAUGGCCCUUACGGCUAGGGCAACACACGUGCUACAAUGGCCAGGACAAUGAGAAGCGAUACCGCGAGGUGGAGCAAAUCUAUAAACCUGGUCUCAGUUCGGAUUGUAGUCUGCAACUCGACUACAUGAAGCUGGAAUCACUAGUAAUCGUAGAUCAGCUAUGCUACGGUGAAUACGUUCCCGGGUCUUGUACUCACCGCCCGUCACACCAUGGGAGUUGAUUUCACCCGAAGCGGGGAAGCUAAACUGGCUACCCUCCACGGUGGAAUCAGCGACUGGGGUGAAGUCGUAACAAGGUAACCG